rnacentral:rRNA from 1 species
AUUCCAGCUCCAAUAGCGUAUAUUAAAGUUGUUGUGGUUAAAAAGCUCGUAGUUGGAUUUCUGGUUCGCUGCGCCUGGCCCGCCUGCGUUAGCAGUGUGAGUGCCGGUUGCGCGGUAGCCAUCCUUCUGGAGAGCGGGCCUGCCCUCCAUUGGGUGGGGUCCGCGACCCAGAUCCUUUACUUUGAAAAAAUUAGAGUGUUUAAAGCAGGCAGUUGCUCUGAAUACAUUAGCAUGGAAUAAUGAUAUAGGACUUUGGUUCUAUUUUGUUGGUUUCUAGGACUGAAGUAAUGAUUGAUAGGGAUAGUUGGGGGUGCUAGUAUUGAGCGGCCAGAGGUGAAAUUCUUGGAUUCGCUCAAGACUAACUUAUGCGAAAGCAUUCACCAAGGAUGUCUUCAUUA